AUUCUCCUGCUUCAGCCUCCCGAGUAGCUGGGACUAUAGGCCCGGCCACCACAACCAGCUAAUUUUUUUUUUUUUUUUUUUUUUUUUUUUAGUAGAGACGGGGUUUCACCAUGUUAGUCAGGAUGGUCUCUAUCUCCUGACCUCGCGAUCCGCCCGCUUCGGCCUCCCAAAGUGCUGGGAUUACAGGUGUGAGCCACUGUGCCCGGCUGAAAGCCUGAUAUAUCUUUCUACCAUAGCAAGAACUAGCAGCACCUUACCCAGUAUGAGACCGACCCAGGUCUGCCUUAAUAUAUAUACCGUAAUAUAUACCUAACAGUUUUUUUUUUUUUUUUGAGAGGGAGUCUCGCUCUGUCGCCCAGGCUGGAGUGCAGUAUCGCGAUAUCGGUUCGCUGCAAGCUCCGCCUCCCGGGGUCACGUCAUUCUCCUGCCUCAGCUUCCGGAGCAGCUGGGACUGCUGGCGCCCGCCACUACGCUCGGCUAAUUUUUUUGUGUUUUUAGUAGAGACGGGCUUUCACCGUGUUGGCCUAGCGGUUCUCCAACUCCUGACCUCAUGAUCCCCCCGCCUCAGCCUCCCAAAGUGCUGGGAUUACAAGCGUGAGCCACCGCGACCCGCCAACACUCUUGACAACAGUGCUGUGCUAAGAACUUGGGGGACUUCAAAAAGUUCACCAGUUCCUGUGUCCAUGGGUGAAAAGAUUUUCUACAUCUUUCCUUGACUAGAAACAGAAGUCCUGAAACAAGGUACACCUUCUUGAGGCUUACUUGGUGAGUCUAAUUUGUCUUCUGGCACCACUGUGAAUUUGAAGGCUUACGUCUUCUUCCCUGAUCAUAUGUUUUCUACAUGUCAGGAAUAUAACGUCAGGAGGCCAGAGGCUUUGUCCUGCCUAAUGUGUUAUUUCCACACUGAAUAAAAGCACCUGAGUCCUGGUUCUGGAGAUUGGGGCAUGAUAUCUUCCUUGGGCCAUUACUUGUCCUGCCACUUGGAAUAGGUGCUUAUAAGCCACCUCUAAGAUAAUGAAUAACUUGCAAUUUGAUCCGUGAUUUACAUAACGUGUAUGUUUUUCCUGUUUGCAAAGGCAUAUGGCAAGGGAGUAAAGCCAAACUUUUUACCACAUGGCAAAAAUAAUUGUAUUUUGCAACAGACUAAAAGCUUAAUGCUAUACAGACUUUGGGUUGGUGGAGUUACUUGAGGAUUUACUCCAGCAAAACAAAAAAAAGAAUGAAAGAAAGAGAAAGAUAAAAAUAUGAAAGAAGCAACAGACCUAUUCCAGAAAUGUAAUGAAAAAAGGCCACGAAGUUUGACAACUAUGUAUUAAAUUUACAAUCAGUCCAAAUUAGACUGGUAGUCAGAUUGAUAUGAGAAGUACAUUUUCAAAAAGAUGUACUAUACCAAAUAAUAUGAGUGCAAAACUCUGGAUGAUUUUAGUAAUAAUGUGAAGACACAUAUUUCUUUUGACAAUUAAAAAAAAGAAAAUGAAUUGGAAACUUCAGGAAACGUCAGAAAAUACAAAAUGCUCUGUAGGAAGUAAUUGUCUAAAUGAGAGGUGAAGCCAGUGGGACUUCCUGGAUUGGAUGGGGACUUGGAGAACUUUUCUGUCUAGCUAAAGGAUUGUAAACACACCAAUCAGUGCUCUGUGUCUAGCUAAAGGAUCGCAAAUGCACCAAUCAGCACUCUGUAAAAAUUCUGUGUCUAGCUAAAGGUUUGUAAAUGCACCAAUCAGCAAUCUGUUAGAAUGCACCAAUCAGUGCUCUGUGUCUAGCUAAAGGUUUGUAGAUGCACCAAUCAGCACUCUGUAAAAACGCAUCAAUCAGCGUUCUGUGUCUAGCUAAAGGUUUGUAGACACAUCAAUCAGCACUCAGUAAAAACGCACCAAUCAGCACUCUGUAAAAUGGACCAGUCAGCGCUCUGUAAAAUGGACCAAUCAGCAGGAUGUGGGCGGAGCCAAUAAGGGAAUAAAAGCUGGCCACCAGAGCCAGCCAGUGGCAACCUGCUUGGGUCCCCUUCCACCCUGUGGAAGCUUUAUUCUUUUGCCCUUCACAAUAAAUCUUGCUGCUGCUUACUCUUUGGGUCUACAUUACCUUUAUGAGCUGUAUCGCUCACCAUGAGGGUCUGCGGCUUCACUCCUGAGGUCAGCGAGACCACGAACCCACUGGGAGGAACAAACAACUCCAGAAGCACAACCUUUAAGAGCUGUAACACUCACUGUGAAGGUCUGUGGCUUCACUCCUGAAGUCAGCGAGACCACGAACCCACCAGAAGGAAGAAACUCCGGACACAUCUGAAAUCUGAAGAAACAAACUCUGGACACACCAUCUUUAAGAACUGUAACACUCACUGCGAGGGUCCCCGACUUCAUUCUUAAAGUCAGUGAGACCAAGAACCCACUGGAAGGAACCAAUUCUGGGCACAUAAAUAUGCAGCAAAAUACAAUAUGGUAUGAUUUUGAGCAAUUGAUGAAUAUGUAGAAAAAUUAUUCAAUCCUGAUGUUUGAAAUAUGCUACUUUGAGUAGCAGCCUUGUAGUGACCUAAAUGUAUUUCUGUAGAUAAAAUUGAACUAUGUGGUACUAUAGUGAAUAAUGUGUGUUACAAUAUAAUAGCAUGCACAAUUGUAUAUAUGAAGUUUAGAACACUUCUACAUUUUAAUAUCUGUAAUAUGAUUAUACUCAUAUAUGUGUACUCAGAUUUUAAAACAUAAUAAAAUAUAAAUGUUAUUAUUGUCUUUCUAGGAAGAUGGUGAGGUUUUUUUUUUUUUUUUUUUUUUCAGUCUCACUCCGUCACCCAGACUGGAGUGCGGUGGCAUGAUCUCAGCUCAAUGCAACCUCUGCCUCCUGCGUUCAAGUGAGUCUCAUGCCUCACCCUCCCUAUUAGCUGGGAUUACAGGUGUGUACCACGACACCCGUCUAAUUUUUUGGUAUUUUUAGUAGAGACGGGGUUUCACCAUGUUGGUCAGGCUGGUUUCAAACUCCUGGCCUCAUGUGAUCCAUCCAUCUUGGCCUCCCAAAGUGCUGGGAUUACAGGCAGGGGCCACCGCAUCUGGCCGAUUGUGAG
rnacentral:lncRNA from 10 species